GACGAACGCUGGCGGCGUGCUUAACACAUGCAAGUCGAGCGACUGCAUUCUUUUCGGAGGGUGUAUGGAGCGGCGAACGGGUGAGUAACACGUGAGUAAUCUGCCUUUGGCUUGGGAAUAACUUCGGGAAAUCGGGGCUAAUACUGGAUAUGACUCCAUGACGCAUGUUGUGGGGUGGAAAGCCUUGUGCGGCUGAGGAUGGGCCCGCGGCCUAUCAGCUGUUGGUGGGGUGAUGGCCUACCAAGGCGACGACGGGUAGCCGGCCUGAGAGGGCGACCGGCCACACUGGGACUGAGACACGGCCCAGACUCCUACGGGAGGCAGCAGUGGGGAAUCUUGCGCAAUGGGCGAAAGCCUGACGCAGCGACGCCGCGUGAGGGAUGACGGCCUCGG
rnacentral:rRNA from 1 species